GUUAAAACACUGGUUCUUUUACAAUCACUGAAGUUAAGCAACAUUGUGCUUGGUCAGUACCUAGAUGAGUGACUGUUUGGGAAUGCCAGGUGCUGUAA